ACCAGAUAACUCAGGGCCCCCCAAGAGCUCCAUUACUGUCUACAGACAUGUCCACCCAUCAUGCUCAGACUGUGGCGGAAGACAAGCACACGCACUGUAUUUAUACUGGUGAUGAAGCAGAGGGCCCAGAACACUUCAGGAGCAUCACUCCGUCAGGGAGCUGCAGCAGCUCUGACAGCAGCAAGGAUGUUUUGAUAUGGACCUCAGUUCGUCAGCAUACAUAUAGUACAGCCAGAGUGGACUCCAAGACAGACAGAUUUUUUUCAUCUACUUUCUGGACUCCUGAGAAACUCUAAUUCGAAUAUUUUCCAAACAGAGAAAUAAUAAAUAAAACUAGAUUGCAUUCUCUCGAUAAGAAAA